AGAGUUUGAUCAUGGCUCAGGACGAACGCUGGCGGCGUGCCUAACACAUGCAAGUCGAGCGGUCUCGCCUAUAGCAAAAGGCCUUCGGGCUUCGAGCAAAGGCGAGAUAGCGGCGGACGGGUGAGUAACGCGUGGCUUAUCUGUCCCAGGGAGGGGGAUAACGUCUGGAAACGGGCGCUAAUACCCCAUAUGCCGGUGAGGUAAAAAGGAGAAAUCCGCCCUGGGGUGAGGCCGCGUCCUAUCAGCUAGUUGGUGAGGUAACGGCCCACCAAGGCUAUGACGGGUAGCCGGCCUGAGAGGGCGGCUGGCCACACUGGGAUUGAGAUACGGCCCAGACUCCUACGGGAGGCAGCAGUGGGGAAUAUUGGGCAAUGGGGGAAACCCUGACCCAGCGACGCCGCGUGGAGGAAGGAGCCCUUCGGGGUGUAAACUCCUGUUGUAAGGGAAGAAGACAGUGACGGUACCUUACGAGGAAGCCCCGGCAAACUACGUGCCAGCAGCCGCGGUAACACGUAGGGGGCGAGCGUUGUCCGGAAUCACUGGGCGUAAAGCGCACGCAGGCGGAUGCGCGCGUCGGCUGUGAAAUGCACCGGCUCAACCGGUGCACUGCGGUCGAUACGGCGCGUCUGGAGUGCGGGAGAGGGAAGCGGAAUUCCCGGUGUAGCGGUGAAAUGCGUAGAUAUCGGGAGGAACGCCGGUGGCGAAGGCGGCUUCCUGGCCCGCAACUGACGCUCAUGUGCGAAAGCCAGGGGAGCGAACCGGAUUAGAUACCCGGGUAGUCCUGGCCGUAAACGAUGGACGCUAGGUGUGGGGCGGUUUAUCCGUCUGUGCCGAAGUUAACGCGUUAAGCGUCCCGCCUGGGGAGUACGAUCGCAAGGUUGAAACUCAAGGGAUUUGACGG
rnacentral:rRNA from 1 species